rnacentral:rRNA from 1 species
UGGGGAAUUUUGGACAAUGGGCGCAAGCCUGAUCCAGCCAUGCCGCGUGCGGGAAGAAGGCCUUCGGGUUGUAAACCGCUUUUGUCAGGGAAGAAAUCUUCUGAGUUAAUACCUCGGGAGGAUGACGGUACCUGAAGAAUAAGCACCGGCUAACUACGUGCCAGCAGCCGCGGUAAUACGUAGGGUGCAAGCGUUAAUCGGAAUUACUGGGCGUAAAGCGUGCGCAGGCGGUUUUGUAAGACAGAGGUGAAAUCCCCGGGCUCAACCUGGGAACUGCCUUUGUGACUGCAAGGCUUGAGUGCGGCAGAGGGGGAUGGAAUUCCGCGUGUAGCAGUGAAAUGCGUAGAUAUGCGGAGGAACACCGAUGGCGAAGGCAAUCCCCUGGGCCUGUACUGACGCUCAUGCACGAAAGCGUGGGGAGCAAACAGGAUUAGAUACCCCUGGUAGUCCACGCCCUAAACGAUGUCAACUGGUUGUUGGGAAGGUUCCUUCUCAGUAACGUAGCUAACGCGUGAAGUUGACCGCCUGGGGAGUACGGCCGCAAGGUUGAAACUCAAAUGAAUUGACGGGGU